AUCAAUCAUGUAUCGUUUCGUUUGAAACUUGUUAUAGAUCUGUGCGUUUUCGAAUGUUUUUGUUUUACGAGAUAAAGGCUCCAUUUUUAUCGAGUCAACAGCAGGCGCCACUUUUAAUGGUGACCUGACUGCCGCUUGGAGCCUAGAUCAAAUGCCAGAGGAAGACCCAUGAAACUUAUUUCUCUAUAGUUUCAUGAUUCAAUACUCUUGGCGACAUAAUAUUAUUUGGAUUCUUUGGUUUUGAUUUGUUUUUCUUGUGGUGAUAAGGAUGCGAUAAUGAUGGUUUUAGAGUAGUUGUUGGGUUCUUGAGAUGGCAUUAAGUCAGACACGGGUGCUUGUUGGGUUUAUAAGAAACAGCAGAGCAACCUUUUGCAUGGUGCCUACAUUAUUUAUUAGCUUCUUAUCACGAUUGGAGGCAGUCUUGAUCUGAUGUCUUCUCAUGUCUUCCUCUAAAUUAAAAGCAGCUACAGUUUUGUCUUUUAAGACAUACAAAUGAUUUAUCUGAACUUGAGUUUGAAAGAGCACUUCUUUUAGCCCUGGAAUGAUUUUUAGUCCCUGAAAUAAUGUUGGUUUUCUUGUUCUUGUAUAUGCCUGGAAAUAUUGGAAAACAAUGGACUCACUCAUUUGAUACAACUGUAACAAAACUGUUACAAUUGAUGUUUUAUAGCAUAUUUAGAUAUAUAUGGGAGCUGGAUUCUUUGGUUUUGUUUUGUUUUUUCUUGUAGUGAAUUUGAUGCGAUAAUGAUGGUUUUAGAGUAGUUGGGUUUUUGAGAUGGUAUUAAUUCAGACACGGGUGUAUGUUGGUUUUAUAAGAAACAGCAGAUCUACCUUUUUCAUGGUAUAUAUGAACUUGAGUUUUCUUUUGUGUGAUACUAGGAUGUUGGUUUUCCUGGAAAUUCUAGAAAAGAAUGUCCAACUGUAACAAACUUGUUACCGGUGAUAUCUUUAAAGAAGCUGAUAUAUGGGAGCUGGAUUCUAUCAUUGAAAAGCUUUUGCAUUGCUUGGUUGUGCUGUGUUGUUAGUUUGGGAGAUGUGUAUCUGUGAUUUUUAUCGAAUCCUUUCGAGAGAAGUGUCUUCAGCGGCACAGAUAUCUAACACAAGAUGAUCGAGGGGAGAAUUUGCAAUAAUUAUUCUGUUUUGCUUGCAAUCGAGGAGACAACAUUUAUUCUGUUUUGCUUGCAAUUUCAUUAUUGAUGUCUACUUUGGUACUACUUUCUUUGAUCCUUCUGUAGAUCUAGUCUAGUAGUAUUACAUGCAACAUCUAAUCUGUUAUUAUUCUUAUCACAUGUUCAUUUAUCUUUAAUACAAAAGAUAAGAGUCAAAGAGUCUUGACUGCGAUCAUUUUGCGUUGGUGGUUAUUUGAGAGCUAAAACUUGCCUGACCAAGAGAGACGCUUUGUUCUUUGGUAACAAGUGUUCGAACCAACCAGUCCUACAGAUGCAACCAAAAGCGCAUCUUCGUUUUUUUGUUUUCCUCCGUCGUUUAGAUAAAGAAGGCUGUAUAACAUGAAUGUGAUUUUAAAAGGAUGAAGUAGACGGGAAUGUUCAAUAUGUUUUGAUGUAAAUACUAAAAUAAA
rnacentral:sRNA from 1 species